rfam:Dehalobacter sp. CF, complete genome.
AAAUUAUAACAUUUUCCGCUGUAGAAAGCAGGCGCUUUAUUAAGCUUAAUAUCCUGCCGAGGUGGAGACAAGAUCGUCUUUUGAAGACAUGAAAGACAUUAAUAAUCUUGCCUCUGCGCCCAGCAGAGGCUUGUUUAUUGACAGC